GGAUGUGAGGUGAUCUGGCUGUGACAUGUGUCACACCAUUGAUCACCAGGGUUGACUCAGAUGAUGUGGCCAUCCAGGUGGGUGUCCCCUUCCUCCCUCAAUGCUCCAUGUGUGUUCGGUCAAAGAAGGAGGACCAUUCCUGGGUCAAGGGUGUGAGAGUGGCUGCGUUCCCCCACUAGCACCCCAAGCAGGUAGAGAGCAAAUGCUUGGCUCAUUCCUGUCUGGCUCCUGGGUCUUCACGG
rnacentral:snRNA from 1 species